AUUGAACGCUGGCGGCAGGCCUAACACAUGCAAGUCGAGCGAGCGGCGGAUGGGGGAGGAAUGUAUGGGGACUGCCCGAUAGAGGGGGAUAACUACUGGAAACGGUAACUAAUACCGCAUACGAUCGGAUAACCCAUAUGGGAUUAGCUAGUAGGUGAGGUAAUGGCUAAGCUAGGCGACGAUCCCUAACUGGUCUGAGAGGAUGAUCAGCAACGCUGGAACAGAGACACGGCCCAGACUCCUACGGAGGCAGCAGCGGGGAAUAUUGUACAAUGGGCUCAAGCCUGAUGCAGCCAUGCCGGGUGUAUGAAGAAGGCCUUAGGGUUGUAAAGUACUUUCAGUCGGGAGGCGUUACCGACAGAAGAAGCACCGGCUAACGCCGUGCCAGCAGCCGCGGUAAUUC
rnacentral:rRNA from 1 species